AGCGAGGUGCCGGAGUCAGGUCAAACGAGCCCGAUUACCAAUCGGGUGGCAUAAGUGCCUUCGUGGGUUCAAAUCCCACCCUCCGGUA
rnacentral:tRNA from 2 species